rnacentral:ncRNA from 1 species
CAAAGGCAUGGUCCAGACCUUAAUAUCAGCUCUAGCUUAACUUACACAUGCAAGUCUCCGCGGCCCAGUGAAUUUUGCCCUCAUCCCCCGCCCGGGGAUGAGGAGCAGGUAUCAGGCACAAACAUUAUCAGCCCAAGACGCCGAGCCUGGCCACACCCCCAAGGGUAUUCAGCAGUGAUAAACAUUAAGCCAUAAGUGAAAACUUGACUAAGUCAGAGCUAAGAGGGCCGGUAAAACUCGUGCCAGCCACCGCGGUUAAACGAGAGGCCCUAGUUGAUACUACAGCGGCGUAAAGGGUGGUUAAGGAUAAAAAAUAAUAAAGCCAAAUGGCCCUUCGGCAGUUAUACGCUUUCUAGGCGUCUGAAGCCCCACUUAUACGAAAGUAGCUUUAACAAAAUAACCUGACCCCACGAAAGCUGAGAAACAAACUGGGAUUAGAUACCCCACUAUGCUCAGCCGUAAACUUAGACAUUAAUUUACAAUAAAAUGUCCGCCAGGGUAUUACGAGCAUUAGCUUAAAACCCAAAGGACCUGACGGUGUCUCAGAUCCACCUAGAGGAGCCUGUUCUAUAACUGAUAACCCCCGUUCAACCUCACCACUUUUAGCCAUCCCAGUCUAUAUACCGCCGUCGUAAGCUUACCCUGUGAGGGUUAAAAAGUAAGCAAAAUGAGUAUAACCCAAAACGUCAGGUCGAGGUGCAGCGCAUGAAAUGGGAAGAAAUGGGCUACAUUUUCUAUACAGAAUAUUACGAACGUGCACCAUGAAACAGUGCUUGAAGGAGGAUUUAGAAGUAAAAAGGAAACAGAGUGUCCUUUUGAACCAGGCUCUGAGACGCGUACACACCGCCCGUCAUUCUCCCUAUCUACAGUGUAAAUUAAUACUUAAUACCUUAACACAGAUAAAGGGAGGCAAGUCGUAACAAGGUAAGUGUACCGGAAGGUGCACUUGGAUAAACC